AUGCAGAUCUUUGUGAAGACCUUCACUGGCAGGACCGUCACUCUUAAUGUUGAAAGUUCAGAUACUAUCGGCAAUGUGAAAGCUAAGAUUCAUCAUAAGGAGGAUUUUCAACCAUACCAACAGUGUCUCAUAUUUUCUGGCAAGCGGCUGGAGGACGGUCGCACCUUGGCCGACUAUGGCAUCCAAAAGGGGGUUACCCUUCAUUCUGAACCCCGCUUCCCCGGACAUAUUAAGAUUUCUGUGAGGAGCCUUAAUGGAAAAAUGAUGACCUCGCAGGUCCAUCCAUCAGAUACCAUCGGUGCUAUGAAGGCAAUGUUUUUGUUUGAACACCACCUUAUCUUCAAUGGGAAACAACUGGAGGAAACCCGUACUUUCGCUGAUUAUGAUAUCCAGGAUGGAUCUACUCUUGAUGAUUUCCGCCUCCAUGCAGGGAUGAAAAUCAACAUCAAUGUGUUAGACAACCCUCUCUAUGUUGAGAGCUCAGAUACUAUCGACAGUGUCAAGGCAAAGAUUAAUGAUGAGUACGGUAUCCCUCUAGCCCAACAGCGCCUCGAGUUUCACAGGAUAAGGAGGACGUCCGGAUUUCAUCCAUACUCUAUCUUACAGGGCAUCCGUACUUUGGCCGAUUAUAACAUCCAGAAUGGAGCCACUCUCGACCUUAUCGUCUGCCACCGACCCAGGCCGAUGCAGAUCUUCGUCAAGAAUUUGGGAGGAAAGACCUUGACGUUUAAUGUUCAGAGCUCAGAUACCAUCCGCAGUGUCAAGGAGAAAAUUCAGCAGGUGGACGGUAUUGACCCGGCAAGCCAACGCCUCAUCUUUUCCGGGUGGCAGUUGGAGGAUAGCUUCACACUGGCAGAAUACAAUAUCCAGCAUGAAUCCACUUUUCAUCUUUGCCUCCGCCUUUAUUCAUGUGCUAAAUGUCCAGGAACCCAUCACUAG
rnacentral:rRNA from 1 species